rnacentral:lncRNA from 1 species
AGAUGUCAGGAUUGAAGCAGCAGAGUUGAAGCCUCAAAAAUAAGGGCGAUGGAUAAUUGAGAGACCUCAAGCAGAAAUAGAACGUUGCUGAUCAGAGGGGAUGUGUCUUUGGGGAAGGUAAUGACGACGUCAGGACAGGUUCAAAGGAAGCCCAUCACUUGAGUACAAAUUUAUAGCCCUGCAGUUUCAGUUCCGGGCCAGCAAAAGAUUUAUCAAAGGAAAGCAACAAGGUGGAAAGCUGAUGGUGAUGAUAUUAACUGAUGAACUUUCAUGAGCAGUAAAGUUCAGUAAUGCUAAGAACUUAGAUGUCAUUGCUAUUUUGUAGCAAAGACAUCGCCCCAUGUCUUCAAAUUACAUCCAGCAACUUCAUAUGCACUAUGAAACCCUUGUUGCCACAAUAGUCCCUCUUUGUUUGAACUACUACAAGAAUAAAGAAAUUUCUUUCUAAUCUUUUGCAGA